GAUGAACGCUAGCGGCAGGCCUAAUACAUGCAAGUCGAACGGUGUCUUCGGACAUAGUGGCGCACGGGUGCGUAACACGUAUGCAACCCACUUUACAUUGGGGGAUAGCCUUUCGAAAGGGAGAUUAAUACCGCAUAAGACAGUAGCUGGGCAUCCAGCAGCUGUUAAAGAUUUAUCGAUGUAAGCUGGGCAUGCGUCCAAUUAGCUAGUUGGUGAGGUAACGGCUCACCAAGGCAAUGAUUGGUAGGGGAACUGAGAGGUCAAUCCCCCACACUGGCACUGAGAUACGGGCCAGACUCCUACGGGAGGCAGCAGUAGGGAAUAUUGGGCAAUGGACGCAAGUCUGACCCAGCCAUGCCGCGUGCAGGAUGAAGGCGUUAUGCGUUGUAAACUGCUUUUAUACAGGAAGAAACGACUCUUGCGAGAGGCAUUGACGGUACUGUAUGAAUAAGCACCGGCUAACUCCGUGCCAGCAGCCGCGGUAACAC
rnacentral:rRNA from 1 species